GCCGAAGUGGUGGAAUUGGUAGACACGCUACCUUGAGGGGGUAGUGGACUGAUGUCCGUGGAGGUUCGAGUCCUCUCUUCGGCACCA
rnacentral:tRNA from 1 species